AUGAGCGGCGGCGGCGGAGGAGCGGCGGCGACGCAGGGGCAGCAGGAUCUGCAGCUGCCGCCGGGGUUCCGGUUCCACCCGACGGACGAGGAGCUGGUGAUGCACUACCUCUGCCGGCGCUGCGCCGGCCUGCCCAUCUCCGUGCCCAUCAUCGCCGAGGUCGACCUCUACAAGUUCGACCCAUGGCAGCUCCCAAGAAUGGCGCUGUACGGCGAGAAGGAGUGGUACUUCUUCUCCCCGCGCGACCGCAAGUACCCGAACGGGUCGCGGCCGAACCGGUCGGCCGGCACGGGCUACUGGAAGGCCACCGGCGCCGACAAGCCGGUGGGCACGCCCAAGCCGCUGGCCAUCAAGAAGGCGCUCGUCUUCUACGCCGGCAAGGCCCCCAAGGGCGACAAGACCAACUGGAUCAUGCACGAGUACCGCCUCGCCGACGUCGACCGCUCCGCCCGCAAGAAGAACAGCCUCAGGUUGGAUGACUGGGUGCUGUGCCGGAUCUACAACAAGAAAGGCGCCUCGGAGAGGCCGGGCGCCGGUGACCGGACGGCGAGCGCGAGCCCCGGGCACGCGGCCGUCGGCUCGCCGCCGGAGCAGAAGCCGACCCUGCUGCCGCCGUACGCGCCGCAGCCGUUCUCGGACCUGGCGGCGUACUACGAGGUGAGGCCGUCGGACUCGAUGCCGCGGGCGCACGCCGACUCGAGCUGCUCGGAGCACGUGCUGACGGCGUCGUGCGAGCGGCCGGAAGUGCAGAGCCAGCCCAGGAUCUCCGAGUGGGAGCGCACGUUCGCCUCCGCCACCCCGGGCGUCAACCCGGCGGCCGGGCUCCCCGCCGGCGACCCGCUCCUCCAGGACAUCCUCAUGUACUGGGGCAAGCCGUUCUGA
rnacentral:rRNA from 1 species